rnacentral:rRNA from 1 species
UACGUAGGGGGCAAGCGUUGUCCGGAAUCAUUGGGCGUAAAGCGCGCGUAGGCGGCCCGAUAAGUCCGCUGUGAAAGUCAAAGGCUCAACCUUUGAAUGCCGGUGGAUACUGUCGGGCUAGAGUCCGGAAGAGGCGAGUGGAAUUCCUGGUGUAGCGGUGAAAUGCGCAGAUAUCAGGAGGAACACCGGUGGCGAAGGCGGGUCUCUGGGCCGAUACUGACGCUGAGGAGCGAAAGCGUGGGGAGCGAACAGG